UAAACUAGGAUUAGAUACCCUACUAUAAGGAUCGUAAAAUAUGAAUAUAUUAAGGUAGUAUUAGCUAUGGUCUUGAAAUUUAAAAAAUUUGGCGGUAUUUUAGUCUUUUCAGAGGAACCUGUUCUAUAAUCGAUGAUCCACGAUUAAUUGUACUUGAUUUACAAGCUUAUAUAUCGUCGUAGUUUGAAUUUUUCAGCAGAAUAAGAAUUUUCAUAAUUUAUAAUUUUAUAAAAGAAAUCAGAUCAAGGUGUAGUUUAUAAUUAAGAAGAAAUGGGUUACAAUAAAAAUAUUUAUUAUGGUUAUAAUAAUUAAAAUUAUUAUUUAAAGCGGAUUUGAAAGUAAUAUAUUUAAUUUAAAAUAUAUGAUUUAAGCUCUAAAAUGUGCACAUAUCGCCCGUCGCUUUCAUUUAAUUAUUAAGAUGAAAUAAGUCGUAACAUAGUAGGUGUACCGGAAGGUGUAUCUAGAAAGAUCAAAUUAGAGCUUGUUAGAAAGUAUUUUAUUUACAUUAAAAAGUUAAUUGUGUAAAUCAAUUUAAUUUGAAUAUAAAAAUUUAUUAAAUUUUAUAAUUAAUAAUUUAUAUUUAAUGAGAAUAGUUAUUUUUUUUUAUAUUGUAUAGAUAAAAUUCAAUUUUAUUAUAGUUAAUUAGUAAAGUAGUUGAAUAUUGAAAUAUGUGAAAAUUUAAAUAUGAAAAAGAAAAUUUGAUUUAUUGUACCUUGUGUAUCAGGGUUUAUUAAAUAAGAAUUAUAAAAUUUAAUUUUCUCGAAUUUAAAAGAGUUAAAAAAUUAUAAAUUUUAUUGUAAAAUAAAUAUUUUAAAUAAUUUUUUAGUAAUGAAACGUUAGUCGUUUUUAAAUUUAUCUAGUUUUUUAAGAAAUAAAUUUAAUUUAGUUUAUUAUUAAUUAAUUAAAGUAAAUAAAUUUACUUUAAAUUAAAUAAUAAAUUAAUAUUUUAAGGGAUAAGCUUUAAAAUAAAAAUUUAAAAAUUAACUAUAUUAAUUUAUUAAAAUUUAUAGAAUUGGAAAUUUUUAUUAUUUAUAGUAUGUUAUAAUAAAUUUUAAUUAAUAUAUAAUUUAUAUAAAAUUUUAAAUUUUUUAUUAAAAUUAUUAAUUAAAUUUUAAAAUUAAUGUAAUAAUGAUAGAAUUAGUAUAAUUUAAUUGUAUUUAAUUUAAUUUUUUAAGGUUAAGUUAAGGAAUUCGGCAAUAAUUUUCUUCGCCUGUUUAUUAAAAACAUGUCUUUUUGAUUAUAAUUUAAAGUCUAACCUGCCCUAUGAUUAUAGAUUGAAUGGCCGCGAUAUUUUGAUCGUGCAAAGGUAGCAUAAUAAUUAGUUUUUUAAUUGAGAACUGGUAUGAAUGGUUGGACGAGAGAAAAACUGUCUCAAUUUAAUUUUAUUAGAAUUUUAUUUUUAAGUAAAAAAGCUUAAAUAUAUUUAAAAGACGAGAAGACCCUAUAGAGUUUUAUAUAAUUUUUAUUUUUAAUUAUUAAGAAUUAUUAAUUUAUUAGUAGAGGUUGUAUUUAGUUGGGGUGACUAAAAAAUUUAAUUAACUUUUUUUAAAUAAAUUAAACAUUGAUUUAUGAUUAAAUGAUCCAUAAAGAUAUGAUUAAAAGAUUAAAUUACCUUAGGGAUAACAGCGUAAUUUUUUUUAAGAGUUCUAAUCGAAAAAAAAGUUUGCGACCUCGAUGUUGGAUUAAAAUAAACUUUUAGUGUAGCAGCUAGAAUAGUUGGGUCUGUUCGACCUAUAAAAUUUUACAUGAUCUGAGUUCAAACCGGAGA
rnacentral:rRNA from 1 species